GAUGAACGCUGACGGCAUGCUUAACACAUGCAAGUCGAAGGGGGAGUGGUGCUUGCACCUUGUCGACCUUGACGUACUGGUGAGUAACUCGUAAACGGCUUACCUGCACGACUGUGAUAACCGUUGUAAACUGCUGACACAACCGGAUACUGUCAUUGAUCUGCCUUACUUUCUGAUUAAAGGAGACGCCUGCGGAGAGACUUGCGUCCUUUUAGUUUGUUGGUGAGGUAAUUGCUCACCAAGGAGAGGACAGGGAGCCGGCGUGAGAGGAUGGUCGGCCACAAGGGGAGUGAGAUACGGCGCCUAAUACUACGGGAGGAAGCAGCGGGGAAUAUUGGAGCAUGAGGGCAAAAACGAUGAAGCAACUCUGUGUGGAGGAAGAAGGUUUUCGGAGUGAAAAGUGCUUUCAGCAGGGAAGAAGUAAGUGACGGUACCUGACGAAGAAGCGACGGCUAAAUACGUG
rnacentral:rRNA from 1 species